UUUUGUUAAGAAAAAGUUUAUCGUAGGAGUAAGAGUUGGAAUUAAAAUAGGUUGGCGGCGUGCUAUCUGAAUAGAGGAAUCUGAGCAGGAGUCGACAGCCCACGAGUAGCUUAUCUAGUUUUUAUGUUUGUAUAUCGCCGUUGUAAGUGGAUUCUUAAAGAAGAUUCUCUUAAAUUUAAAAAGAAAACUAUGACAGGUCAAGGUGCAGUUAUGACUAGGUUGUUUUGGAUUACAAUUUUAUAAAGAAACUACGGACUAGGAGUUUGGAAAGAGUCUUAGGAAGGUGGAUUUAUUAGUAAUAAGAUUUUUAGUGGGGUUUUAUGAAAAAGGAAUAGCACGUGU
rnacentral:rRNA from 1 species